rnacentral:rRNA from 1 species
CAGCCGCCGCGGUAAAACGUAGGGUGCAAGCGUUAAUCGGAAUUACUGGGCGUAAAGCGUGCGCAGGCGGUUAUAUAAGACAGAUGUGAAAUCCCCGGGCUCAACCUGGGAACUGCAUUUGUGACUGUAUAGCUAGAGUACGGCAGAGGGGGAUGGAAUUCCGCGUGUAGCAGUGAAAUGCGUAGAUAUGCGGAGGAACACCGAUGGCGAAGGCAAUCCCCUGGGCCUGUACUGACGCUCAUGCACGAAAGCGUGGGGAGCAAACAGGAUUAGAUACCCCAGUAGUCCCUGUCUCUUAUAA